rnacentral:rRNA from 1 species
AUGACAUUUGUAUUGAUCAUCGCUGGCACACUUGUUCCGGGCAUGCCAUCAGCUACAAUUGCACAUCCUAUGGCUGCAAAAUUUCAUGGCCUGUGUGUCAUUAUACAGUUUUAUUAUAAUGGUAAAGAUAGAACUAUAGAAGUUAAACUUGGGCUUACUGUUCUUGUUUGUCCCAACGUUAACUUGAGCUUGGAGGUUCUUACUGAGCCUGUAUUUCUGAAACAUCAAAGAAAUUCUGACUUGACUGCAGUUAUGGGUGCCAUUUUUAACAUGAGAAUUUAUGAUUAUCAUGUACCUGAAGGUGGCUUUUCAGAUGAUACAAGGUGA